GCUGGGAUGGCCGAGUCGUUAAGGCGAGUGAUUUGAAUGGAUCAUUAUCACUUGGUGUUUCACCGCGUAGGUUCAAAUCCUGCUCCCAGCG